CUUAAUGGCCAUGCCACCCUGAACAGGCCCGGUCCCAUCUGAUCUCGGAAGCUAAGCAGGGUCGGGCCUGCUUAGGGAUGGGAGACUACCUAGGAAGACCAGGUGCUGUAGGC
rnacentral:rRNA from 1 species